rnacentral:siRNA from 1 species
UGUAACCGACAAGUACUAUUUGGU